AACGUUAUGACCUGCAUGACUAAUGUGUGGCUUUGUAGACCAUCUCUACUAUAACGUUAUGUUGAUUUUAUUUUUUUCCUCUUACCUCAGUAUAAUGUUAGCUGCUAGCUAGCUAGGUCGGUAGGAAAUAUUUUAUGAAAAACGAAGGCACUUGUUCAAUGUUAGUGUUGUACAUAGUUGAUAAAAGCAUGUUAAUUCAUUAGAUAAUUAAUUGUGGAGCUGGCAAAGUGCCGCUGUACAGAGAACUGUCUAAAUAGGAGUGUUUUGUUGAGUAAUGUUGAGUUAGGGGAAUUGUGUAGGCUAACUUAAGUUUGGUUAAGUGAAGCCCUCGUGUGUUUUUCUGUUGCUGCAGAUUUACAUUUUCUCACACUCUACAUUGUCACCUGGAGUCAGCUCUGUAACCGUGGCCCCAAGUUUUUGUGAUUUACAUUUUCUCACACUACAUUGUCACCUGGAGUCAGCUCUGUAACCGUGGGCCCAAGUUUUUGUGGAAAUGGCUGAGACCGAUUUCCUCAGUGCCAUGGAGAGAACGACAGUGGGGAUCUAUGUUGUGAAAGACACUGCCAGCAGUGAACCCUCUGAUGUCAGGAUAGUCCUCGAAGGUGUGAUGGUGCUUCAAGAUCUUGAGAAUGUAGCACUUGCUUCUGCAAUGUUGUUUGGGCUCUUAUGCCUUGAACAUGCAGCACCCUACAAAGCUCCGCUACACCUUUGAGGCAUUUCAAAAGAUCAUCAUGGAGCCUCAGCAUCAGACACUUAAUAAUAUGAGCCUGUCAGCUGCAAAAACAGAACUUUUAGUGACACUAACUGACCAUGCACAGUUGCCCUAUAUAACGUUGCAGCCCGGUUCACAGCAAUCUUGCUCAAUGCUGGACCAAUUUUCAUGAAUUAACCACUAGAUAGCCUAAAUUUAUAUUGAUUGGCUGUAAAUGUAGCUGUUUUUUAAGUAUGCUUGUUUUUCCACUGUCCAAUUAACAUUUUUAUAUCUAUAAUUUCUUUAAAUUGACUGAUUAAUACUGUAAAUGUGCUGACAUUCCUUUUUGAUUAAAAGUACAUAUUCAGUA